rnacentral:rRNA from 1 species
UACAGAGGUCUCAACCGUUGUUCGGAUUCAUUGGGCGUAAAGGGUGCGUAGGCGGUUCGGCAAGUCGGAUGUGAAAUCUCCACGCUUAACGUGGAGGGCCAUUCGAAACUGCUGUGACUCGAGUCCGGUAGGGGAGUGUGGAAUUCCCGGUGUAGCGGUGAAAUGCGCAGAGUAUCGGGAGGAACACCAGUAGCGAAGGCGGCACUCUGGGCCGGUACUGAC